GUGUGUGUGCAUGCAUAGCAUAUAAGUUCAUAGGAAAAAUGGAUAAAGAAACCGUGAAUUUGAAAAAGAACAGGGACAACUAUGGGGGAGACUGUUAGUAAGGAAAGGUAAGAGAAAAAUGUUCUAAUUAAAAUUCGGUCUCACAAACAUAUGGAAUGGAAAAAAAAGCAGAAGAAGCUGUAUGGUAACAAUGACAUCUACACCUAACUUUGGAAGGAUAACGGAACCAGUUAUGUACUGCCUAGAACAGUACGACAUAUGAAAAACCUGGACAUGGAGGAAAACACAUGGCAACUCUGAACAGAACAUGAUAAAAAUCAAAUAAUGUUUUACUCAUAAUCUUUGGCCCUUGUUUGUUGUUCAAACAAGAGCACUAUCUCUACAUAUAAACCUGUACUGUGUCUUAACUGGAGAAUUAAGAGAGCCACAGGUCUAUAAUGAGUACUGACCUAAUGAACCCUGCAGCUCUGCCUACCCUUUGCUGAUUUGCAUAUAUCCAAAGCACUUACAUGAGGACUUCUUCAUAAUCAGGUCACACCCUGUGUUGGAAUCAGCCUCAUAGAGAUCACACACAGACAUGGGUGUGCCCACUCAGCUCCUGGGGUUGUUGCUGCUGUGGAUAACAGAUGGCAUAUGCGACAUCCAGAUGACACAGUCUCCAGCUUCCCUGUCUGCAUCUCUGGGAGAAACUAUCUCCAUCGAAUGUCGAGCAAGUGAGGACAUUUACAGUAAUUUAGCGUGGUAUCAGCAGAAGUCAGGGAAAUCUCCUCAGCUCCUGAUCUAUGCUGCAAAUAGGUUGCAAGAUGGGGUCCCAUCACGGUUCAGUGGCAGUGGAUCUGGCACACAGUAUUCUCUCAAGAUCAGCGGCAUGCAACCUGAAGAUGAAGGGGAUUAUUUCUGUCUACAGGGUUCCAAGUUUCCUCCCACAGUGAUUCAAGCCAUGACAUAAACCAUGCAGGGAAGCAGAAGUGAGAGUACAGGGUGCCCCAGC
rnacentral:lncRNA from 1 species